rnacentral:lncRNA from 1 species
UUUGGUUGUACAUUGUUUAUCAUGAUUAUUUGAUGCAGUGAACAAAUUCAAAAUCUUGAGAUCAUUGCAUAAUUCAUACUAUAUUAUAUUAUAAUGUAAUUUAUUUAUAAAAUAAAACCAUGACACUUAUUGUAUAGCCCAAAUUAUGCCCGGCCCAAAACCAAACUCUAGACCCAAUUACAAAGCCCAAAUCAGCCCACAACCUUAACUAAUUUUCAGCCAAAAAGGAAAACCCUAGCCACCAAAGUCUGUCACCACCCACACCUCCACUUGCUCCACUUGCUCCACUUGCACUGCCUCCAUCCCAUCAUCCCAUCACCUGCAAAACAAAUAGAGAGCAGAAACACGCAAAGCAAAAAAGGGGAAACAAGCAGAAGGCAGAGAAAUCAUGUAAUCGACUAUAAAGUCGAAAGAGAAAAUAAUAAAAAUAGGGGAUUUAUAUUUUCAAAAGGGGGGAACCGAGGAAUUUGUUUCAAGAAAUCGAUUCGGAUACAAAUAAUAAAAGGAGACAGUUGAAGAAGGGAUCAAAAGGGGCUAAGGUCUUUUGAUACUCUUAUUUUUUCUUUCAAAAACUGUUAUUCCUCUUUUUUUUUCUCUUUUUUUUUCUAUUUUACGAAGUUAUUUACAUACAUAUAUAAGAAUGCAAUAAAAAAGAGGAAAAGGAAAGUACCUGGAGUGUUCGGCCACCGUCCAUGGCGGAGGAGUAGCAGUCGAGGCGACAGCGCAACAAAUGGGUUUCUUUUGAAACCCUAGCAGAGAAUGAAAUGGGGAGAAUAGGGCUGCUCUCUCUGUUUUUUUGCAAAAGAAAGGAAAAGAUAAAAAAAAACAUACGAAAUUUUAGAUUAAAAAGCAGUGCAAAAACGGUGUCGUUUUGCACCAUAGGUACCAGCAUUGAAACGGCGUCAUUUAAGGCGACCCGUACUUGGGAGAUCCGCGUGUUUCCGAAUAUUGGGUUAUUUGCGCGGAUAGUCCCUCUUUUUUCUCAGUGCUUGUCAAUCUGGUCUUAUGUUGAUUUUUUCUCUGCUUUUAAUUUGACCCCAUGCUUUUGUUGACUUUUUAAAUAAGGUCCUCCGACCCAUUGACAUGCUGCGAAGUGAACACGUGUCCAGAGGCUGGGUAUUUUACCUAUUUAGUCCUCAAACCUUGCGCAUAUUUUCAUUUUUACCCUGUUCGUUUAUUUUGUUAUAGUAUUCACUUCUAAUUUCGUUUUUAUUCCAAUAUAACCCCUAGUCAGUUUGAUUUUGAUCUUUUUAUUUUUCUUUAUUUAUUCAUAUAUUAUUUAUUUUAAAAGGUAUAGUAUUUCAUUUGUUAAAAUAUUUUUAAAACUGUUCUAUUAUUUAUUCUAAAUCAUUUUGUUGUUACCUUUUUUACUUUUUUUCUCACCAUUCUAUUUAUUUUUAAUAUUAUUCAUACUGCUAUAUUUUAUUAAUGUUACUAUAUUUGUAUUUUAAUACGAGAUAAUCGUGCCCUAACUUACGGGGUUUCGAUUUUUCUCAUUUAACCUAAAUAACGGAGCAUUCUUUUAAAUCACAAUACUAGUUUUGAAAAAUGCUUAUUCUCGGAGAUACGAGGUGUUGUGCCCUAACUCACCGGGUAUGAUAUUUUGUUACCUCGAAAUAAGAUUUUUUACAAGUAAAGGCAAUAUUCAGUGUUUGGAAAUUCGAGGAGACGUGCCCUAACUUACGGGGUUUUAAUUUUCCUUGUUCACCCUAACUAACUGAAUAUCCCUCCGAAAUACACGAUUUUUUAGGUAAAAGACAAACUCAUUCUCAAAAGAUUGAGAUGUUGUGUCCUAACUCACUGGAUAUGACAUUUUGUUGCUUCGAAACGAGAAGGUCUUUAACGUUCGAAUGUUUUUUACAAAAAGAAGGAUUGUAUUUCAAAGUCUUUCAAGUUUUUUUAUUUUUCAACACUAAGACACUAAUUAAUCAACUAGGUACCAAUUUUUGGGCGUAUCGAGGGUGCUAAUCCUUCCUCGUGUGUAAUCGACUCCCGAACUCAUUUUUUGAUUUUCGUAGACUAGAGAUUAUCGUUUUAGUAAAUCUUAACUCUUAUUAAAAUGAUUAAUUUGAGGUGACCCGAUCACACCUCAUCAAAAAGGAUUGGUGUCGACUCCUGUUUUUUUGUUUUCAUUUUCAAAUCCAAGUCGAUUCCCGUUUUUCAAAAAAAAUGGUUACGAUAGCUUGGCGACUCCACUGGGGACCCAAAUAAGACAGUCAAGCCACAAGUUGAUUAACUUUUGUCUUUUUGUCGAAAAUUGAAAAUUUGAUUUUGAUAUACGAUCCUUUCAUUGCAUUUCACCCGUUUUUCUUGCGGUUUUCAUCAUUUUAUUCCUAUUUUCUUUAAUCGCUUCGGUUUUUUUAUGCAUAUAUCCUUGCACAUUGCAUUGCAUGACCGCUAUGGUCACACCCCUUUAAGUGGAAGUGAGAAACUACUCCUUCGUGAGGUUUUCAUCUCCGUGCAGGAUAGUGGAUCGCUUUUGGGAUACAUCCGUACCUAUGUCUUCGUGAGAUUUUCAUCUCCGUGCAGCUAUAGGGAAAUGUAUUCCCCUGAACUGAACUCGGUCUGUAUGAGCCUAUAAUGGGUGAAGAUCAAGGAAUCUGCUGGUUCAGGUACCUUUACUUUAGAACCAAACCCCAUGUAGCGAGCCUUAAGAACCCACCCUAGGUAGAGCUACUUUGAACCCCUAGUGGUCACCCGAAUUACUUUAUUUGUUAUUUAUUUAUCCUGCACUAAUGUGUUUUGUUUUUGUUUUAUUUAUAAUUGCAUUGCAUUUCAUCAUCAUAGGAAGGGGGUGUUGAUUCAUAUUUGAUUGCUAAAUAGAAUAGUUUGUCAUAAGAAAAUAAUUUUUUUGAUAAAGUGGAUUAUAACACGGUUGUCUAAAUAUAGUCCAAGUAAACAUAAUGAAACAAGGCUGAUAGUCCGCGAAGACAUACAAGACUUUGCUUCAUUGCCUGAGAAUGCAAGCCGACAAAGAUUGUUUGAGAGCAGUAAUGGCUUAAAGAAGCUAACAAGUAUCGUGGGGAUAAGUGAGCAACGAGUUGCAGCCUGGAUCAAGCAAAAGGAGUCAAUGGAGACAUCUUUUAGAAAGUUCACAAGACUUGACCAUAAGAUCUGGAUAUGAAGAGGAAAAUAGGUGUCUUCACUUGGAAUAUGAGAGAAAGGCCGUAUAUGUAGUCCGUUUUAUGUAAAAGAAUUUGUUUUCUAGAAAAGUUGUUCUAAUGAAAUUGAAUUCAGAAUCAAUGCCUUCCUUUCUUUUGCAUUCAUUCAUGUAUUUGCAUUGCAUUGCAUCAUUUGCAUUAGACUUCCCCUAAAAGAACCCUAAUUAGGUGAAAUUAUUUCAGUUAGCCUGGGAACCGACAAAGGUCAAACGACUAGGCAUCUUUAUGGUACACGGAAAAAGAUAAAAGAUAUGGAUCAAAGAUUGAAAAGACUUAAACAACUUCAAAGAGAGACGCAAGACCUGCUACAAAUGCAAAAGCAAGAGCAGCUAGCAAAGAUCCAACAAGAUAUAAGGGACCAAAUGCUAGAGUCCCAAAGGAAUACGAUGAAUCAAUUGUCCCAAUUACUGACUAAUGGGUUAGGAAGAGGAAAAAACUCCAUGAUCAAUGCUGGGGAGGACAAUGAUGAGCCUUUAUACCCUCCGGGUUUCACCUCGAUAAACGAUCAGACAUGUCCGCAAGAUGUACCUAUUACUAUCAGAUCACAACAUCAGGACGGUACCUCGGUACUCAUGAACUACCCGACGGGCUCAGGUUCCAAUCCAAGGAACAGUCUAACCAAUCAUGAAGUUCCUGAUCUAGACGAAAUGGAAGGAAUAGAAAAAGCAAAGGUUGAACUGGCAAGACAACUCGAAGAUCGAUAUAAGUGGUUGGAAGAAAAACUUAGAGUGAUGGAAAAUGCUGAUUACCAUCGCGGGGUCGAUGCCAAGGAUCUGAGUUUGGUCCCUGAUCUAGUACUCCCGUCAAAAUUUAAGACUCCAGAGUUUGAAAAGUACAAUGGGACUAGUUGUCCUGAAGCUCACAUCACAAUGUUCUGUCGAAGGAUGACAGGAUAUGUUAAUAACGACCAAUUAUUAAUUCAUUGCUUCCAAGAUAGUUUGAUCGGGUCAACAACUAAAUGGUACAAUAAAUUAAGUCGUGCUAAAAUCAAUUCAUGGAAAGACUUAACACAGGCUUUCAUGAAGUAGUAUGGCCACAUGACUGACAUGGCACCCGACAGAAUUACACUACAGAAUAUGGAAAAGAAACAAGGUGAGAGCUUCAGGCAAUAUGCCCAAAGAUGGAGAAAGGUAGCGACGCAAGUCCAACCACAUUUUCUAGAGAAAGAAACUACAUCGCUUUUCAUCAACACUCUGAAGGCCCCGUUCAUUACCCAUAUGUUAGGAAGCGCUAUCCUGAGCUUCUCAGACAUAGUAAUAUCCGGUGAGAUGAUUGAAAACGCAAUCAGAAGUGGGGAGAUAGAUGCAGGAGAAAACGCCAAGAGGUCAACCCCAAAUAGAAAUGAAAAUGAAGUGAAUAAUAUGAGUAAAGGGUACCCCAAAUUGGUCAACAUAGGCCAGCCGAGGCAAGAAUCCAACUCGAGGUCGAAUACAGAAAGGCUCCAGUUUACACCAAUCUCAAUGUCAUAUAAGGAGUUGUAUCAGAAUCUCUUUGAUGUACAUGUAGUGUCACCGUUCUACUCGGAACCAGUGCAACCUUCGUUCCCAAAAUAGUAUAAUGAGAAUGCUCAAUGCGAGUACCACGCGGGAAUAACGGGACACUCAAUCAAAAACUGCACUACUUUUAAAAAGUUGGUCGAAAAGUUCGUUGAAAUGGGAGUUAUAAAGUUUGACGAUUCCUCAGAACCAAAUCACUCUGAAAAUGCAGUAAAUACGAUUUGAAAGUGGGGGCAAGAGAGUUGCAAUGCCUUGAACAAGUCAAAAGCCUGGAAGGAAUAUCAGAGAAUCUGAAUGACAUAUCCAAAGAGGGAACUGGAGAAUAAUAGUUUCCAAACCGUUGCGUACUUGGGGAUGUUUUGAACAAUGGGACUGUAGAAGAAAUCCCUGUAUUUUUAGAGCUAAUCUAGAGUAAUAUUCGGAACACGCUUGUUGCUUUAAGCCUAGAAGCAAUAAAAAUCCUUUUGUGAAAUAGGCUUGUGUCCUAAGUCUUUAUUUCAAUAAAAUGCAUCUUUUUUGAGUAAAUUUUUUUUAUUUCAUUUCAUACUAUACAAAUAAUUGUUCAUAUAUUCUUUUGUUCUUUGGACUUUCUUUCAAAUAUUCAUGUAUACUUUAUCCAUGAUCAUAGAGUCAUUUAUUUUUUGGAAUCUACCUUCAGCGGGUCUCCAAAUAUCCAUGAUAUGAGUAACGCUGUCAUUGGCUUCGAGUCUCCUUUUGAGCAAAAUAUGGGCUUAAAGGGAUCUCAACACUUUGAAGAUGACAGAGAUGUAGACUAAUCUCUGAUUUGUUAAGGAUGGUAGAGUAAGAUGAAAACAGAUCAUCUCUUACAAAAAGACAGUGGACAGUAGGCCUAGGACAAGAGAAAGAGGCAAACAUCGGAGUCUGCAUCACCACAAAGGCAAAGCGAGAUGUCAUUGAGUCAAUUCCAAUAAUUUGAAGAUUUUUUACACAAUCGUAUCAAGAUACGCCUGGCUACUAAGACAUGAGGAUGUUGCAGGGUUUUGAAUGACAUAUGCUGGCCAGACUAAUCAUGAGAUUUGGGUACUGCUGGUCCACCAUAGAAAAGGAUUGCAUCAGUAUGCCGUAAAUGCCAAAUUUAUGGAGAGAAAAUUCAUGUGCCUCUUCAUUCUUUUGAUUUUCUCUGUAUGGGGUAUAGAGGUUAUUGGGCCGAUCUCGUCGAAGGCUUCCAGCAGGUAUCAAUUACUUCGCCAAGAGGGUGAAAGUCGCUUCAUAUGCCAAUCAUCAAAUCCUAAAAGAAGAAGAAGAAGAAGAAGAAGAAGAAGAUCAUGGAAAGAUGACUGAGACUUGUAAAGAUCGGCAUAAGAAGUCAUCAUGUACCCUCUAUGCUCAUCGAACAUCGACAAGAACCUUAGCUGGGGAAACACAUUGCUCAUUGGUUUAUAGGAUAGAAUCGGUUUUGAAAAUGAGAUUUCUUUUCUCCGAGUCUCGUUAGAGCUGAAAUUAGAAAAGGCAGAAUGGAUCCAAUCCUGAUAGGAUCAAUUGAAUUUGAAAAGAGAGGGUCGAAAGCUAUCUGUCGAAGUCCAAUGCACCGAAAAUGACUGAUGCGAGCUUACGAUGAAGAAGUUUAUCCUAGAAAAUUCCACGAAGGGAACUUGAUGUUAAAGAAUAUCCUUCCUAUACAAAAGGAUUUCAGAGGAAAGUGGAUGUCAAACUAGGAGGGACUUUAUGUAGUAAAAGGCCCAUUCUGGAGGAGCGUUGAUGGCAAAGAUUUGCCCAAUCCAGUGAAUUCAAAUCCAGUCAAGGAAUAUUUUACCUAAAAGGAAAGAGGCCAAGGUGAAAACCCACAAAGGGUGCCUUAAAAAAAAGGAACGAAAAGAGGAGAGGCCAUGGCGAAAACCCGCAAAGGGUACCUUGAGACCAAAGGGGAUUUGAGUUGAAAACCCGAAAAGGGCGACUCAAACUUGGAUCAAAAUGGGGCAUACAUUAGUCUUGCUAUGCCUGAAUUAACAAUGAAGAAGUAUGCUACGUCUUGGGGCAUUGACAAUGUACUCCGGAUCCCCUAAAUACAUAUUGAGCUCAGAAAGGUCCUCAAGAAGUUGGUACAGAGAAGCUCAAGCUGCGAUAUCUGGGGCAUCUAGCUUCCAUUUUGCCCACUUUGAAUUUGUUAUCUUUGAUUCUUUUCAAGAUAUGUCCGAAUAAAUUUUCUUCUUAUUGCAUUGCUAUCUUUAAUUAACUUAUUCAUUUUGAGUUAAUUUCCUUCUUAUUGCAUUUGCAAUCUUUGAUUAAUUUAUUCAUUUCGAGCUAUGCUCCCAAUCAAUUUUCUUCUUGUCCAUCGUUUUAAUAUUUUUCAAGCAUUUUUCAUUGAAAUAACGAUUAAUGGACCAAUAAUACUUUCACAAAAGAAGUUCUGCAUAUUACUUUAGGAGCUUCUAAAUAGUACAGGAGCCUAAAACAGGACCAUUAUUCAGAACUCACCAAGCCUAAGGGUUGAAAAUAUUUGAGCCCAAAUUGAAAUCAUCUCAUUGGGUUUCCUGUCAAAGAUAUUAGUUGAGCAGAAAAAUUACAUUGGUGUUAUAAUCCCAGCAAAGAACAAGCAAUGAGAUUAUUCUCGAGAAAAUAAAAAUGGUAUUUUGUAUUCAUACAGAUAUCAGGCAUAUACAUUUGUUCAUUACACCUGAGGAAUGGUGUAAUAGAUCAAAUUGAUUGAAGAAGACGCAAAUCCUAUACCUUUGAGCGGCAGCAGGAUGGAUAGAAGAAAUUAAAUGAUUAUUCCCCUGAAAUGCAGCAGGAAGAACAAACUUUAUGUCCUAGAAGGUACAGUGGAAGAAACUCUAAAAUUACAGCGGGGCAAGCUUGCUGAGCAAAAUGUGAUUGUUUCUUUGACUUUUCUGUCAAGAAUACCAACCGAACAAGAUGGCAGCGUAACACGUCAGUGAUAAUGUCCUGAUGAACAACGAGCGAUGACACCUUAAGCCUUUUUAAAGGGAUCAUUUUCAUUCAUAUAUCAUUCAUAACACAUCUAAUUAGGAGCAUUUGAUUCAUUUCGAUCAUAGCAUCCUAAUUAUUUGACAUAUUCAUAACGCAUCUAAUUAGGAGCAGUUGGUUCAUUUUGAUCAUAGCAUCCUAAUUCUUUGGCAUACGCAUAAAUACAUGGAACUGAUUCUACAGGUCAUGUUCCUAGAAUCAGUGAAUUCACCAGACCUUAACCCCCUAAGCAGUAGGGUAACAGGUUGAAUUCACAAGCCUUAACUCCCUAAGCAGUAGGGUAACAAGCUGAAGUUUAUAGAUCUUAUCACCCUAAGCAGUAGGGAAAUAGAUCGAAGAUGAUGAGCUUUAACCCUCUAAGCAGUAGAGUAACAAGCUAAAUUUACAGACCUUGACUCCCUAAGCAGUAGGGUAAUGGGCUGAAAAUUACAGAUCUUGUCUCCCUGAGGUCGCAGUGGAACAGAUCGAAUCCAGCAAGUCUUAUCUCCCUGAAGUCACAGUGGAGCAGACUGAAGAUUUACAGAUCUAACCCUCUAAGCAGUAGGGAAACAGAUCGAAAGUGAUGGGCUUCAACCCCCUAAGCAAUAGGGUAACAAGCCAAAUUUUCAAACCUUAAACCCCUAAACAGUAGGGUAAUAGGUUGAAUUUCCAGAUCUUAACCCCCUAAGAAGUAGGGAAACAGAUCGAAGACGAAGGGUCUUAAACCCUUAAGCAAUAAGGUAACAGACCAAAUUGCAGAUCCUAUCUCCCUAAGCAGUAGUGGAGCAGAUCGAAGACGAAGGGCCUUAAACCCUUAAGCAGUAGGGUAACAGGCUGAAUUUCUAGAUCUUAACCCCCUAAGCAGUAGGGUAACAAACCAAAUUGCAGAUCUUAUCUCCCUAAGCAGUAGUGGAGCAGAUCGAAGACGAAGGGCCUUAAACCCUUAAGUAGUAGGGUAACAGGCUGAAUUUCCAGAUCUUAACCCCAUAAGCAGUAGGGUAACAGACCGAAGACGAUGGGCCUUAAACCCCUAAGCAAUAGGGUACCAGGCUGAAAAUUACAACUUUCUUCUCCCUGAAAUGGCACUGGAGAGGCUCGAAGCCACUAUUCGUAUCUCCUUGAAGUUUCAACGGAUCUUUCUCCUUGAAAUGGCAUUGGAACAGCUCGAAGCCACAACAGAUCUCAUCGAAGUUUUAGUAGAGAAAAUUGAGCCUACGAAUCUCUGAAGUUUCAGUGUAGUAGGUCGAGGCUACAAAUCCCUUCUACCUGAAUUCUUAUUUCCUCAAAGUUUUAGUAGAGAAGAUCGUAGCUACAAAUCUCUUCUCCUUGAAUCUCCGAAGUUCCAGUGGAGUAAAUCAUAGCUGUAAGCCUUAUCCCCCUGAAGUCGUAGUGGGGCAGGUUGAAGUUACCAGUUUUAUCUUCUUGAAUUGCAGUGAAGUGGAUCGAAGCAACAAGAUGUGGUGGACUAGAAUAAGGCGACCUGAAGAAGAGGAGCACUGAAGAAGUCAAGAAUCGGUGAGACCGGGCAAAUUUGGUCUUUCUUAAAAGUCUUUGCUCUAUUCUCGUUACACGACAACAAGUAAAGAGGGGCAGCUGUAUAGCCCAAAUUAUGCCCGGCCCAAAACUAAACUCUAGACCCAAUUACAAAGCCCAAAUCAGCCCACAACCUUAACUAAUUUUCAGCCAAAAAGGAAAACCCUAGCCACCAAAGUCUGUCACCACCCACACCUCCACUUGCUCCACUUGCACUGCCUCCAUCCCAUCAUCUCAUCACCUGCAAAACAAACAGAGAGCAGAAACACGCAAAGCAAAAAAGGGGAAACAAGCAGAAGGCAGAGAAAUCAUGUAAUCGACUAUAAAGUCGAAAGAGAAAAUAAUAAAAAGGGGGGAUUUAUAUUUUCAAAAGGGGGGAACCGAUUGUAUUUUUAAGGGGAAUUUGUUUCAAGAAAUCGAUUUGGAUACAAAUAAUAAAAGGAGACAGUUGAAGAAGGGAUCAAAAGGGGCUAAGGUCUUUUGAUACUCUCUUAUUUUUUCUUUCAAAAAAUGUUAUUCCUCUAUUUUUUUCUCAUUUUUUUUUCUAUUUUACGAAGUUAUUUACAUACAUAUAUAAGAAUGCUAUAAAAAAGAGGAAAAGGAAAGUACCUGGAGUGUUCGGCCACCGUCCAUGGCGGAGGAGUAGCAGUCGAGGCGACGGCGCAACAAAUGGGUUUCUUUUGAAACCCUAGCAGAGAAAAAAAUGGG